UCAACGGUAGGUUUCAUUACUUACCUGUGGACUUUUGUCCAUAGACUUAUGAUGAAACGUGGUUAUGAUCUCUUUGAUUAAACCAGAGGCCUUGGCGGUCAGCGACGGCUGCCACGGUCAUUUCUGAU